rnacentral:rRNA from 1 species
GUGCCAGCAGCCGCGGUAAUACGUAGGGCGCAAGCGUUAUCCGGAAUUAUUGGGCGUAAAGAGCUCGUAGGCGGUUUGUCGCGUCUGCCGUGAAAGUCCGGGGCUUAACUCCGGAUCUGCGGUGGGUACGGGGCAGACUUGAGUGAUGUAGGGGAGACUGGAAUUCCUGGUGUAGCGGUGAAAUGCGCAGAUAUCAGGAGGAACACCGAUGGCGAAGGCAGGUCUCUGGGCAUUAACUGACGCUGAGGAGCGAAAGCAUGGGGAGCGAACAGGAUUAGAUACCCUGGUAGUCC